UUUUUCCAUCCUUCAACUGAGCUGUGCCCUCUGGCUGCGGUACUCCCUCUUGCUGAUGGCUGUGGGGCAGGGCUGGGUUUACUGGUGGGGGGAAGUAGCAGCUAUAGGGAGCACAGUGGGCUUGAACAUGUCCGUGUGGAGCUGCUCCUUACCAGCCCUACUGGCUUGGCCAGAAUAUGAUGAUGGUGAUGAUGAUGAGUCCACAAAGCAGGAAUCUGAUGAGGCGGAUACGACAGACAGCGAGGUGGCUUCUCCCUAUGAACAUGAUGUCCUGCAAGAAGCCCAGUCAGAAGGGAAAUAUUUUUGCACCAAAGACAGAGCUCAUGCACUGCAGAAGAAGAGGAGAAGAGGACAGGAUUCCUGGACAAAAGGCUCCAAGAAGGCAAUGAGAGGAAGAAAGAAAGUCAAAGUGGAGCAGUCCUCACUGGGGAUGACAGAGGAAGCAGAGAGCUGCUUGGCUUCCCACCAUGACCCCUCUGAGGAGAGCUAACUGGGUGGUGCAGAGACACAUGGACACUGCAACUGAAGCAGAAGAGCUCAGAUCCAUUCCAUCAACACCAGGAGAGCAACUGCUGUCCACAAGGACCCAUAAGAACUACUUCAGGAGCAGAGCACCCUCAAACCCUCCCUGGGUGCUCCUGGGAAAGGGUCGAGCAUGGACCUUCACCUUGGUGCCAGGAAAAGGGACCGUGCUCUUCCUUGGGAUUUGGUGCUGUGAGGAGGGACCCCAACCUCACUCCCUGUGUGCCAGAACCCAGUGCCCACCUGAGCACUGCAGGUCCCUUUGUCCCUAUGCAUCAAUUCAAUCCUGACCUGGGUUUCAUACAGGUGUGGAUCUUGUUUGAGCUGCAAAGCCCAUGGAUUUCCUUUCGAGCACAUGGGCCAAGCAGGUGGGACACAUUCCCAGAGAGGGAAGGGACAAGAGCGUGAGAAAGGACAGCAUGCCUGGGGUGUCCGGUGUUCCCAGAAGAGCCAGGGACUGGGGCACAGCACAGCCCCAGUCCAGCAGCUCGUGCUGCCCAUAGUGGUACUGCAGAGAGCUUGUUUUCUUAUGGAUAAACUGUUCUCAUGCAAUUUUUCUGAAUCAUGGCCUUCAGCAUCAAGUGAUGGAGUGCUGCUGCCUGGGGCAUGAAGAACAGGAGUGAGCAGAGCUGCAUUGGGCAGGGCUGCUCCUCGCACACAUGCAGCAAAUAAAGCUGGAAAAAAAGUGCCA
ensembl:lncRNA